CCUAGGAUAAAGAAGAAGAAAAGUGGGCUAAGGAAACUCGCAAGGAAAGUUCCAACCAAUCGUCUACUUAAGUUCGAGAGAGUUUUCAAAGAACAAAAACACAUCCCAUUACAGUUAAUGGAAAUAUGA
rnacentral:rRNA from 1 species